AUGGAGUUUGGGCUGAGCUGGGUUUUUCUUGUUGCUAUUUUAAAAGGUGUCCAGUGUGAGGUGCAGCUGGUGGAGUCUGGGGGAGGCUUGGCAUGCCUGGGGGUCCCUGAGACUCUCCUGUGCAGCCUCUGAUUCACCUCUCAGUGACCACUACAUGGACUGGUCCGCUUGCCCAGGGAAGGCUGAGUGGGUCUAAGUAUUAGCAGUGGUAGCGGUAGUACCACAUUGUACCCAGACUCUGUCAAGGGCCGAUUCACCAUCUCCAGAGACAACGCCAAGAACACACUGUAUCUGCAAAUGACAGCCUGAGAGCGAGGACACGGUUGGUGGCCACUGUGCGAG